UUUGUUAAAUCAACCAACAUAUGAUUGAUGGAUUAAUGGUGCGUGCCUUAUUCCUUCGUCUGUGUUUGUUCUUUUUUGAUGAUACGAUUUGCAUAUAAAUAUUUUGGGGGUUAUAGUGUGAUUAAGUUUUCAGUUGAUUACAAUUUCAAAUUUAGAGCUAUAGGAUAAAUUAGUAAAUUUAAUAACAUUUUUAAUAUUUUUUAAGUAAAGGGCUAUGAUGAGAAAAAUGGGGGCUAUGUAUAAAAUUGCACCAAAAGAAAUUGACCAAUAUAAUAAAUUAAAUAAUCCAACAAAACUUAAAUUUGGCCCAUAUAUUACUAAGCCCAACAACAUUU
rnacentral:lncRNA from 1 species